rnacentral:lncRNA from 1 species
AGGUAAAUGGGCCCACAAUCUAUUGAAUAAAAAGAACUUUGAAGUCACAACACAUAAGUAAUGCCAUUCUAAAGGGAAACAAUACCAAAUGCACAUUUCUAGCAUCAGGAGCAAACAAUCUUGCUUAUAGCUGCAAUACCACCAACUACCAGAAUAGGGUUGAUCAAAGCUCAACAGAACCUUGAAUUUCCACAACGUUCAACAAGUAGCUAUACAAAUUUCAACCUUUCUACAUCAAAUAGCAUUGCACCUUGCAACUAUAAUAUAUCCUAACAAAAAGUUCAUGUCUAGUGUGAUCAAUGAAUUGCAAGCCACUUACACAAGUUACUCUACUGCUACACAACUAAACCGAGGUUGUAAUCUUUUAGCUACACUUGUGACAUUGAUAUCAACUAAGUAGGAUUCCAUUUGAUGAUGCUCCGUUGUAAUACAAUAAGCAAAAAACAAAAGAACAAAGGCCAAUCCUUGUUCCAGCAACCCGAGCAUGUCAAGAAUUGGGAACUGAUCACUUUUUGUGCGUUCUGGACACCACACAACAUCACUUUUGGGAAAGAUAGUAAAUGAGAACAAUUUUUGAUGCCGGUGUUGAAUAAUACUUGAAAAACCUCCAUAGCUUGUCUUUGGUCCACCUUGUUGUUGUAUUGUAGCUACCAAGAUGCACCAUUGCUGACAAAAAAUGGAGGAAAGAAAAUGAAAAAAACCACCUCAGACCUCCUCUUCCACACACAAGGGACAAGAAGGAAAAAAAUCAAGAAAAUGCUGCACCGCAGUACUGUAACAAAACAAAGAAAAAAUGGAAGAAGGCUUUGGAGCGCUUCGAGCUCAAGAGCAUAUGAGGAAAAAAUCUAAAACAAACAAAGAUGAAGACCAGCCGCCUAUCACGGAGCUCCUGAUCAGGAAAAAACAAAAAAUACAAAAACAAAACAAAAAAAUAGAACAAGAGAUCCAAUUCGAACAGGUCCUAGUUGUCAUCAUUGGAUACUCUCUUGUAAUUGUUUUUCUGCACCGCAGUGAAGGAAAAUACUCCCAAUGCUGUCGCUACAUUGCAGCUUCUAAUACAAGAAGAAUGCAACAAUAGCUUUACUGAAAACAGAGCUCUAACUCACGGAAAAAACAACAAAAGAAACAAAAUAAAAAAAUACAAAGAGUCCAGAGCUGCCCAAAUCCCUAUUGGAGAAGAG